GAGAUGAGUUCUCCCUGAGACUUAAAGUCUCCUGAAGGAACGUUGAAGACGACGACGUUGAUAGGCCGGGUGUGUAAGCGCAGCGAUGCGUUGAGCUAACCGGUACUAAUGAACCGUGAGGCUUAACCUU
rnacentral:rRNA from 2 species